GACGAACGCUGGCGGCGUGCUUAACACAUGCAAGUCGAACGGAAAGGCCCUGCUUUUGUGGGGUGCUCGAGUGGCGAACGGGUGAGUAACACGUGAGUAACCUGCCCUUGACUUUGGGAUAACUUCAGGAAACUGGGGCUAAUACCGGAUAGGAGCUCCUGCUGCAUGGUGGGGGUUGGAAAGUUUCGGCGGUUGGGGAUGGACUCGCAGCUUAUCAGCUUGUUGGUGGGGUAGUGGCUUACCAAGUCUUUGACGGGUAGCCGGCCUGAGAGGGUGACCGGCCUCAAUGUGACUGGGAUACGGCGCAGACUGCUACGGGAGGCAGCAGUGGGAAAUAUUGCAGAAUGGGCGGAAGCAUGAUGCAACAACGCCGCGUGCGGGAUGACGGCCUUCGAGGUAUAAACCGCUUUCGCCUGUGACGAAGCGUGAGUGACGGUAAUGGGUAAAAAAGCAACGGCUAACUACGUG
rnacentral:rRNA from 1 species